GAUGCCGAGAAGAUGACCUCCACGCGGUCGGCAUCGGGCAACAAGCUUAACCUCCCUUAGCUUGGCGAACAUCUUCG
rnacentral:ribozyme from 1 species